AUGAAAAUGUCUUCAAAGAAACUAGGGCUUUUCUUCCUCUCUUGUCUCAGUGGAUUCCUCAAUUACUGUUGAAUGUUCACUCCCCAGAGUUGGAGUGCUUUUGUUUGUUUGUUUGUUUGUUUUUUGUUUUGUUUUGUUUUUUUGUUUGUUUGUUUGGUUGGUUUUGUUUUUUGUUUUUUCCCUGAAGCCAUGCAGCUAAUUUUCCUCUAGAUGGCGGGACUACUUUAAGCUUCAUUGUAGUAACUGAGUUAUUGCAGGCCUCUGGUCCUGCAGGUGGUAAUGCCUAUUCCAGUUCACUGGGAGAACUUUCUAUAGUAAAUUACUGGGGAAAGAGGGCAUGUUAUAUGUGGGCUUCUGACACUGUGCUGCUAUGAAACCUUCUUAAGAUGGGCCUUACUCAUAGACUGGGGUACACAAGAUGUGAUACAGCCCUUUUGUGAGGGGAAGCCUAACCUAAUUGUAUCUGACCAAAACAACAGCCAUUGUGAAUGUCUGCACCUGUUCAUGUCCAACGCUAAUUCUCUUUUCUGUUGUAAGGCUGGCAAUUCAGCAUCAUCCACUGAAGGAUCCACAAAUAAUAUCAAGUACUGGAGAGCCAAAGACUACUGCAGGUCCAGGGCAAUUCUGUUAUGUUUGAGAAGCAGACUAUCUUUGAGGAGAGCUUCAUCAACCUGA
rnacentral:lncRNA from 1 species